rnacentral:rRNA from 1 species
AUACGUAGGGGGCGAGCGUUGUACGGAAUGAUUGGGCGUAAAGGGCGCGUAGGCGGCCCGGUAAGUCUGGAGUGAAAGUCCUGUUUUUAAGAUGGGAAUUGCUUUGGAGACUGUCGGGCUUGAGUGCAGGAGAGGUAAGUGGAAUUCCCAGUGUAGCGGUGAAAUGCGUAGAGAUUGGGAGGAACACCAGUGGCGAAGGCGACUUACUGGACUGUAACUGACGCUGAGGCGCGAAAGUGUGGGGAGCAAACAGGAUUAGAUGCCCUGGUAGUCCACACUGUAAACGAUGAAUGCUAGGUGUAGGGGGUAUCGACCCCUUCUGUGGCGCAGUCAACACAAUAAGCAUUCCGCCUGGGGAGUACGGCCGCAAGGUUGAAACUCAAAUGAAUUGGCGGGG